UCCUAUUUGCUGAGGCUGAAAAGGAUUGUGUUGAUUUCCUCUUUCACAUUCUCUCCUUGCCAGUGGGAACUGUCACUAGGCUUCUUAAGGAGAAAGAAAUGAAAUAUGGAUGCUUGCCUAACCUCUAUGAAAGCGUCGAAAAUGUUAAUGACAAGUACAUUCAGUCCAACCAAUGCAAGGAUAUCCUUUUAAAACCCAAGUGACCUCUAUGCAAGCGUAGAAAAUCUUAAUGACAAAUACAUUCAAUCGAACCAAUGCAAGGAUAUCCUUUUAAAACCAAUGUCUUCAGCUGGAAAUAUUACUUCAGUUCCUUUUUUAUUGCUUA
rnacentral:lncRNA from 1 species